UACAGAGGGUGCAAGCGUUGUUCGGAAUUAUUGGGCGUAAAGGGCGCGUAGGCGGUGCGGUAAGUCUGUAGUGAAAUCUCUGGGCUCAACUCAGAGUCUGCUAUAGAAACUGCCGUGCUUGAGUGUGGGAGAGGUGAGUGGAAUUCCCGGUGUAGCGGUGAAAUGCGCAGAUAUCAGGAGGAACACCGGUGGCGAAGGCGGGUCUCUGGGCCGAUACUGACGCUGAGGAGCGAAAGCGUGGGGGAGCGAACAGG
rnacentral:rRNA from 1 species